rnacentral:rRNA from 1 species
AUGCUUUAUGGCUUAGAACCGGGACUUCAACGACAUUUUGAACGUCAUGGAGCAUAUGAUAUGUUCCAGGAGUUGAAGUUAAUAUUUCAAGCAAAUGCCCGGAUUGAGAGAUACGAAGUCUCCAAUAAGUUCUAUAGCUGCAAAAUGGAGGAGAAUAGUUCUAUCAGUGAGCAUAUACUCAGAAUGUCUGGGUACCACAAUCACUUGACUCAGUUGGGAGUUAAUCUUCUAGUUGAUAGUGUCAUUGACAGAGUUCUUCAAUCACUGCCACCAAGCUACAAAAGCUUCGUGAUGAACUAUAAUAUGCAAGGGAUGGAUAAGACGAUUCCCGAGCUAUUCGCAAUGCUUAAAGCUGCGGAGGUAGAAAUCAAGAAGGAGCAUCAAGUGUUGAUGGUCAAAAAGACCACCAGUUUCAAGAAAAAAGGUAAAGGGAAGAAGGGGCACUUCAAGAAGAACAGCAAGCAAGUUGCUGCUCAAGUGAAGAAGCCCAAGUCUGGACCUAAGCCUGAGACUGAGUGCUUCUACUACAAAGGGACUGGUCACCGGAAGCGGAACUGCCACAAGUAUUUCGCAAAGUGA